GUACCCUCAAGGGGAAGAGAAGGUCUCUGGAUCUGAUGACAGGCACUGCAGUUAUUCCAACACCUGUGACAGGCCCUGCGACUGAGCCAUGGAACCCACUUGUGCCAGUAUCAGUCACCCCUACACAAAGCACAAGCCCUCACCCUCUGAAGGUGAUUCCUGUCAGGCAUGAAGUAAAGGUAUACCUUCAAAAAAGAAUAGUCAUUCAAAAAAAAUAAAAUAAAAUGGCAGGGGACUGUGUUUUCUGUCCUCAGUGUUGCUAAGAAGCAAAACUCCCUCACAAGAGCACCUGGUGACUGGGGGAGACCAGGCACAGCAGCUAGUGGAAGAGGAAGGGCAGCUCUUGUGGCAGCACGGCAAGGUUUUGCGUCUGGGUGGGAUCCAGGGCAGAGCAGGGGAGCUAUCGCAAACAGUGAGAUUCAACCACAGGAGUUGGAUGGUGCAAGCUGCCAUAGCAGGUGCCACAUUGAGAACACCAAUUCUUGCAUGAAUAUAACUUCAUCCCGCAGAAGCCAAUGCACAAGCCAGUGACUGCUCUAACAAGAACAGGUUUAGAUGUAAGCCUCUGGAUGACCAAACUACCUACCAUAGUCUCUGUAAGUCACUCAGCUGGACUUCUGAAGAAGGAUUUUCAGUUCAACAGUCAAAAGCCACUGACAUCUGCAGAUGUGUGGGUAUUACUAGCAUCAUGCAAAAUGAGAUGGGC
rnacentral:lncRNA from 1 species